UCCAGACUCCUACGGGAGGCAGCAGUGAGGAAUAUUGGUCAAUGGGCUUACGCCUGAACCAGCCAAGUCGCGUGAGGGAAGACGGUCCUAUGGAUUGUAAACCUCUUUUGCCGGGGAGCAAAAAGCGGUACGUGUACCGCAUCGAGAGUACCCGGAGAAAAAGCAUCGGCUAACUCCGUGCCAGCAGCCGCGGUAAUACGGAGGAUGCGAGCGUUAUCCGGAUUUAUUGGGUUUAAAGGGUGCGCAGGCGGAGGUGCAAGUCAGCGGUCAAAUUGCGGGGCUCAACCCCGUACUGCCGUUGAAACUGGCAGUCUCGAGUUGGAGAGAAGUAUGCGGAAUGCGUGGUGUAGCGGUGAAAUGCAUAGAUAUCACGCAGAACUCCGAUUGCGAAGGCAGCAUACCGGCGCCCAACUGACGCUCAGGCACGAAAGCGUGGGUAUCGAACAGGAUUAGAUACCCCCGUACC
rnacentral:rRNA from 1 species